rnacentral:rRNA from 1 species
UACGGGGGGGGCAAGCGUUGUUCGGAAUUACUGGGCGUAAAGGGCGCGUAGGCGGUCAGUGCAAGUCAGUUGUGAAAUCUCCGGGCUUAACUCGGAAAGGUCAACUGAUACUGCUCGACUAGAGUGCGGAAGGGGCAACUGGAAUUCUUGGUGUAGCGGUGAAAUGCGUAGAUAUCAAGAGGAACACCUGCGGCGAAGGCGGGUUGCUGGGCCGACACUGACGCUGAAGUGCGAAAGCCAGGGGAGCGAACGGG